rnacentral:rRNA from 1 species
CCUACGUGGUGCAGCAGUGGGGGAUCUUGGACACUGUGGGGAACCCUGAUCCAUCGACGCCGCUUGAGUGACGAAGUAUUUCGGUAUGUAAAGCUCUGUCAGCAGGGAAGAAAGACAUGACGGUACCUGACCAAGAAGCCCCUGCUAACUACGUGCCAGCAGCCGCGGUAAUACGUAGGGGGCAAUCGUUAUCCGGAAUUACUGGGUGUAAAGGGAGCGUAGACGGUUAAGUAAGUCUGGAGUGAAAGGCCGGGGCCCAACCCCGGGACUGCUCUGGAUACGAUUGAGCUUGAGUGCAGGAGAGGUAAGCGGAAUUCCUAGUGUAGCGGUGAAAGGCGUAGAUAUUAGGAGGAACACCAGUGGCGAAGGCGGCUUACUGGACUGUAACUGACGUUGAGGCUCGAAAGCGUGGGGAGCAAACAGGAUUAGAUACCCCUGUAGUC